CCUACGGGUGGCAGCAGUGAGGAAUAUUGGUCAAUGGGCGCAAGUCUGAACCAGCCAAGUCGCGUGAAGGAAGACGGCCCUACGAGUUGUAAACUUCUUUUGUAAGGGGGUAAAGGGAGGCACGUGUACCUGUUUGUAAGUACUGUACGAAUAAGGAUCGGCUAACUCCGUGCCAGCAGCCGCGGUAAUACGGAGGAUUCGAGCGUUAUCCGGAUUUAUUGGGUUUAAAGGGUGCGUAGGCGGGUGGUUAAGUUAGUGGUGAAAUUUCGCGGCUCAACCGCGGAAUUGCCAUUGAUACUGUACGCCUUGAGAGCAGGUGAGGUAGGCGGAAUGUGUGGUGUAGCGGUGAAAUGCUUAGAGAUCACGCAGAACUCCGAUUGCGAAGGCAGCUUACCAAGCUGCUACUGACGUUGAUGCACGAAAGCGUGGGGAUCAAACAGGAUUAGAUACCCCAGUAGUC
rnacentral:rRNA from 1 species